UACAGAGGGUGCAAGCGUUAAUCGGAAUUACUGGGCGUAAAGCGCGCGUAGGCGGCUGAUUAAGUCGGAUGUGAAAUCCCCGGGCUCAACCUGGGAACUGCAUACGAUACUGAUCGGCUAGAGUAUGAGAGAGGGAGGUAGAAUUCCACGUGUAGCGGUGAAAUGCGUAGAUAUCGGAAGGAACACCAGUGGCGAAAGCGGCUUCCUGGUCCAGCACCGACGUUCAGGCACGAAAGCGUGGGGAGCAAACAGG
rnacentral:rRNA from 1 species